GGGUUGUGAGGUUAAGCGACUAAGCGUACACGGUGGAUGCCCUGGCAGUCAGAGGCGAUGAAGGACGUGCUAAUCUGCGAUAAGCGUCGGUAAGGUGAUAUGAACCGUUAUAACCGGCGAUUUCCGAAUGGGGAAACCCAGUGUGAUUCGUCACACUAUCAUUAACUGAAUCCAUAGGUUAAUGAGGCGAACCGGGGGAACUGAAACAUCUAAGUACCCCGAGGAAAAGAAAUCAACCGAGAUUCCCCCAGUAGCGGCGAGCGAACGGGGAGCAGCCCAGAGCCUGAAUCAGUGUGUGUGUUAGUGGAAGCGUCUGGAAAGGCGUGCGAUACAGGGUGACAGCCCCGUACACAAAAAUGCACAUGCUGUGAGCUCGAUGAGUAGGGCGGGACACGUGGUAUCCUGUCUGAAUAUGGGGGGACCAUCCUCCAAGGCUAAAUACUCCUGACUGACCGAUAGUGAACCAGUACCGUGAGGGAAAGGCGAAAAGAACCCCGGCGAGGGGAGUGAAAAAGAACCUGAAACCGUGUACGUACAAGCAGUGGGAGCACAGAGCAAUCUGUGUGACUGCGUACCUUUUGUAUAAUGGGUCAGCGACUUAUAUUCUGUAGCAAGGUUAACCGAAUAGGGGAGCCGAAGGGAAACCGAGUCUUAACUGGGCGUUAAGUUGCAGGGUAUAGACCCGAAACCCGGUGAUCUAGCCAUGGGCAGGUUGAAGGUUGGGUAACACUAACUGGAGGACCGAACCGACUAAUGUUGAAAAAUUAGCGGAUGACUUGUGGCUGGGGGUGAAAGGCCAAUCAAACCGGGAGAUAGCUGGUUCUCCCCGAAAGCUAUUUAGGUAGCGCCUCGUGAAUUCAUCUCCGGGGGUAGAGCACUGUUUCGGCAAGGGGGUCAUCCCGACUUACCAACCCGAUGCAAACUGCGAAUACCGGAGAAUGUUAUCACGGGAGACACACGGCGGGUGCUAACGUCCGUCGUGAAGAGGGAAACAACCCAGACCGCCAGCUAAGGUCCCAAAGUCAUGGUUAAGUGGGAAACGAUGUGGGAAGGCCCAGACAGCCAGGAUGUUGGCUUAGAAGCAGCCAUCAUUUAAAGAAAGCGUAAUAGCUCACUGGUCGAGUCGGCCUGCGCGGAAGAUGUAACGGGGCUAAACCAUGCACCGAAGCUGCGGCAGCGACGCUUAUGCGUUGUUGGGUAGGGGAGCGUUCUGUAAGCCUGUGAAGGUGUACUGUGAGGUAUGCUGGAGGUAUCAGAAGUGCGAAUGCUGACAUAAGUAACGAUAAAGCGGGUGAAAAGCCCGCUCGCCGGAAGACCAAGGGUUCCUGUCCAACGUUAAUCGGGGCAGGGUGAGUCGACCCCUAAGGCGAGGCCGAAAGGCGUAGUCGAUGGGAAACAGGUUAAUAUUCCUGUACUUGGUGUUACUGCGAAGGGGGGACGGAGAAGGCUAUGUUGGCCGGGCGACGGUUGUCCCGGUUUAAGCGUGUAGGCUGGUUUUCCAGGCAAAUCCGGAAAACUAAGGCUGAGGCGUGAUGACGAGGCACUACGGUGCUGAAGCAACAAAUGCCCUGCUUCCAGGAAAAGCCUCUAAGCAUCAGGUAACAUCAAAUCGUACCCCAAACCGACACAGGUGGUCAGGUAGAGAAUACCAAGGCGCUUGAGAGAACUCGGGUGAAGGAACUAGGCAAAAUGGUGCCGUAACUUCGGGAGAAGGCACGCUGAUAUGUAGGUGAAGUUGCUCGCGGAUGGAGCUGAAAUCAGUCGAAGAUACCAGCUGGCUGCAACUGUUUAUUAAAAACACAGCACUGUGCAAACACGAAAGUGGACGUAUACGGUGUGACGCCUGCCCGGUGCCGGAAGGUUAAUUGAUGGGGUUAGCGCAAGCGAAGCUCUUGAUCGAAGCCCCGGUAAACGGCGGCCGUAACUAUAACGGUCCUAAGGUAGCGAAAUUCCUUGUCGGGUAAGUUCCGACCUGCACGAAUGGCGUAAUGAUGGCCAGGCUGUCUCCACCCGAGACUCAGUGAAAUUGAACUCGCUGUGAAGAUGCAGUGUACCCGCGGCAAGACGGAAAGACCCCGUGAACCUUUACUAUAGCUUGACACUGAACAUUGAGCCUUGAUGUGUAGGAUAGGUGGGAGGCUUUGAAGUGUGGACGCCAGUCUGCAUGGAGCCGACCUUGAAAUACCACCCUUUAAUGUUUGAUGUUCUAACGUUGACCCGUGAUCCGGGUUGCGGACAGUGUCUGGUGGGUAGUUUGACUGGGGCGGUCUCCUCCUAAAGAGUAACGGAGGAGCACGAAGGUUGGCUAAUCCUGGUCGGACAUCAGGAGGUUAGUGCAAUGGCAUAAGCCAGCUUGACUGCGAGCGUGACGGCGCGAGCAGGUGCGAAAGCAGGUCAUAGUGAUCCGGUGGUUCUGAAUGGAAGGGCCAUCGCUCAACGGAUAAAAGGUACUCCGGGGAUAACAGGCUGAUACCGCCCAAGAGUUCAUAUCGACGGCGGUGUUUGGCACCUCGAUGUCGGCUCAUCACAUCCUGGGGCUGAAGUAGGUCCCAAGGGUAUGGCUGUUCGCCAUUUAAAGUGGUACGCGAGCUGGGUUUAGAACGUCGUGAGACAGUUCGGUCCCUAUCUGCCGUGGGCGCUGGAGAACUGAGGGGGGCUGCUCCUAGUACGAGAGGACCGGAGUGGACGCAUCACUGGUGUUCGGGUUGUCAUGCCAAUGGCACUGCCCGGUAGCUAAAUGCGGAAGAGAUAAGUGCUGAAAGCAUCUAAGCACGAAACUUGCCCCGAGAUGAGUUCUCCCUGACUCCUUGAGAGUCCUGAAGGAACGUUGAAGACGACGACGUUGAUAGGCCGGGUGUGUAAGCGCAGCGAUGCGUUGAGCUAACCGGUACUAAUGAACCGUGAGGCUUAACCUUACAACGCCGAAGGUGUUU
rnacentral:rRNA from 1 species